AACGCCGCGUGAGUGAUGAAGGUUUUCGGAUCGUAAAGCUCUGUUGUUAGGGAAGAACAAGUGCCGUUCAAAUAGGGCGGCACCUUGACGGUACCUAACCAGAAAGCCACGGCUAACUACGUGCCAGCAGCCGCGGUAAUACGUAGGUGGCAAGCGUUGUCCGGAAUUAUUGGGCGUAAAGGGCUCGCAGGCGGUUUCUUAAGUCUGAUGUGAAAGCCCCCGGCUCAACCGGGGAGGGUCAUUGGAAACUGGGGAACUUGAGUGCAGAAGAGGAGAGUGGAAUUCCACGUGUAGCGGUGAAAUGCGUAGAGAUGUGGAGGAACACCAGUGGCGAAGGCGACUCUCUGGUCUGUAACUGACGCUGAGGAGCGAAAGCGUGGGGAGCGAACAGGAUUAGAUACCCUGGUAGUCCACGCCGUAAACGAUGAGUGCUAAGUGUUAGGGGGUUUCCGCCCCUUAGUGCUGCAGCUAACGCAUUAAGCACUCCGCCUGGGGAGUACGGUCGCAAGACUGAAACUCAAAGGAAAUUGACGG
rnacentral:rRNA from 1 species